UACGGAGGGUGCAAGCGUUAAUCGGAAUUACUGGGCGUAAAGCGCACGUAGGCGGUUUGUUAAGCCAGCUGUGAAAUCCCCGGGCUCAACCUGGGCACUGCAGUUGGAACUGACAAGCUAGAGUAUGGUAGAGGGGUGUGGAAUUUCAGGUGUAGCGGUGAAAUGCGUAGAUAUCUGAAGGAACAUCAGUGGCGAAGGCGACACCCUGGACCAAUACUGACGCUGAGGUGCGAAAGCGUGGGGAGCAAACAGG
rnacentral:rRNA from 1 species